AGCUGGUGAUGAAAGGAUUAAUAUUUGCUACUCUUUAUGGGGUUUGCAAAUCUCGCUGAUGAUUCUUAUCCACCAAGAUCUCUUGGGCU